rnacentral:rRNA from 1 species
AGUGAACGCUGGCGGUAGGCCUAACACAUGCAAGUCGAACGGCAGCACAGUAAGAGCUUGCUCUUACGGGUGGCGAGUGGCGGACGGGUGAGGAAUACAUCGGAAUCUUCUUUUUCGUGGGGGAUAACGUAGGGAAACUUACGCUAAUACCGCAUACGACCUACGGGUGAAAGCAGGGGAUCUUCGCACCUUGCGCGAUUGAAUGAGCCGAUGUCGGAUUAGCUAGUUGGCGGGGUAAAGGCCCACCAAGGCGACGAUCCGUAGCUGGUCUGAGAGGAUGAUCAGCCACACUGGAACUGAGACACGGUCCAGACUCCUACGGGAGGCAGCAGUGGGGAAUAUUGGGCAAUGGGCGCAAGCCUGAUCCAGCCAUACCGCGUGAGUGAAGAAGGCCUUCGGGUUGUAAAGCCCUUUUGUUGGGAAAGAAAAGCAGCAGAUUAAUACCCCGCUGUUCUGACGGUACCCAAAGAAUAAGCACCGGCUAACUACGUG